rnacentral:rRNA from 1 species
AGAGUUUGAUCCUGGCUCAGGAUGAACGCUAGCGACAGGCUUAACACAUGCAAGUCGAGGGGCAGCGGGGAGAUAAGCUUGCUUAUCUCCGCCGGCGACCGGCGCACGGGUGAGUAACACGUAUGCAACCUGCCCAUGACAGGUGGAUAACCGGGAGAAAUUCCGACUAAUACAGCAUAAUACCUUUUUGAGACAUCUCAAAGAGGUCAAAGGAGGCGACUCCGGUCAUGGAUGGGCAUGCGGCGCAUUAGGUAGUUGGUGAGGCAACGGCUCACCAAGCCGACGAUGCGUAGGGGUUCUGAGAGGAAGGUCCCCCACAUUGGAACUGAGACACGGUCCAAACUCCUACGGGAGGCAGCAGUGAGGAAUAUUGGUCAAUGGCCGGAAGGCUGAACCAGCCAAGUCGCGUGAGGGAAUAAGGCCCUAUGGGUCGUAAACCUCUUUUGUCAGGGAGCAAUGAGGUCCACGUGUGGACUGACGAGAGUACCUGAAGAAAAAGCAUCGGCUAACUCCGUGCCAGCAGCCGCGGUAAUACGGAGGAUGCGAGCGUUAUCCGGAUUUAUUGGGUUUAAAGGGUGCGCAGGCGGCGUGCCAAGUCAGCGGUAAAAAUGCGGUGCUCAACGCCGUAGAGCCGUUGAAACUGACAUGCUAGAGUGAGCGAGAAGUAUGCGGAAUGCGUGGUGUAGCGGUGAAAUGCAUAGAUAUCACGCAGAACCCCGAUUGCGAAGGCAGCAUACCGGCGCUCAACUGACGCUCAGGCACGAAAGUGCGGGGAUCAAACAGGAUUAGAUACCCUGGUAGUCCGCACAGUAAACGAUGAAUGCUAGUUGUCCGGGGCGAAUGGGUCCUGGGUGACACAGCGAAAGCGUUAAGCAUUCCACCUGGGGAGUACGCCGGCAACGGUGAAACUCAAAGGAAUUGACGGGGGC